rnacentral:rRNA from 1 species
CCUACGGGUGGCAGCAGUGAGGAAUAUUGGUCAAUGGACGGAAGUCUGAACCAGCCAUGCCGCGUGCAGGAAGACGGCCCUAUGAGUUGUAAACUGCUUUUGUACAAGGGUAAAACUGAAUACGUGUAUUCAGCUGAAAGUACUGUAAGAAUAAGGAUAGGCUAACGCCGUGCCAGCAGCCGCGGUAAUACGGAGGAUCCAAGCGUUAUCCGGAUUUAUUGGGUUUAAAGGGAGCGUAGGCGGAAUGAUAAGUUAGAGGUGAAAUGUCCGGGCUUAACACGGGAACUGCCUUUUAUACUGUUGAUCUAGAGAGAUGGUGCGGCAGGCGGAAUGUAUGGUGUAGCGGUGAAAUGCUUAGAUAUCA